rnacentral:ncRNA from 1 species
UGUGCGAGUGUUAAGUGCGCCAUUUCUGGUAGCAGUAAUCUCGGGAAAAUUACUGGCUCUUAGGGCUGCGAUCAACAGGCUGAGGUAGAAAACGUGCCUGAUUGGUUCGCGGCUGAUUCGAGUGCUGAUUCGGCAUGUUACCGUUAUCUCGCAUUGCCUACUCGAUGAGUGGUGUUGUCAACGAUGGCGGCGAGCUGUGUGCUCGAACUGUGAGCGAGGAGAGUGGGUGGUGGGCGACUUCAGAUAUGCAUACGCCUUGUUUGCGACUGUAUGCAGCUGCCAUAAGUGGUAAUGUGCUGGCGGUUGCAUGGCCUCCGGGAUAUUUGCUUGACGUGAAAGAGCCAACUCAAAAAUGGAACGGAACUGGGCAAUCUAACUGUUUAAUUAAAACAAUGCAUUGCCAUGUCUGGUGAUCUGUUUCAACGCAAUGUAAUUUUUGCCCAGUGCUCUGAAUGUCAAAGUGAAGAAAUUCAACCAAGAGAGUGUAAAUGGCGGAAGUAACCAUGACUCUCUUAAGGUAGCUAAAUCUAAGUAGUGACGCACAGGAAUAGGUUAACAGGAUUCCUGCUGUUUCCCUCUAUCUACUAUCUAGCGAAACCAAAGCCGGGGAAACGGAAUUGG